rnacentral:rRNA from 1 species
AAAUAACGCUGGCGGCGUGCCUAAACAUGCAAGCCGAACGGGGAAGGACCUUCGGGUCUGAGUAGAGUGGCGAACGGGUGAGUAACGCGUGGGUCACCUGCCCUCAAGAGGGGGAUAACUCCGCGAAAGCGGGGCUAAUACCGCAUGAGCCCGCAAGGGGAAAGAGGCAACUCGCUUGAGGAGGGGCCCGCGUCCGAUUAGCUGGUUGGUAAGGUAACGGCUUACCAAGGCGACGAUCGGUAGCCGGUCUGAGAGGACGGACGGCCACACUGGGACUGAGACACGGCCCAGACUCCUACGGGGGGCAGCAGUGGGGAAUUUUGGGCAAUGGGCGAAAGCCUGACCCAGCAAC